rnacentral:rRNA from 1 species
CCUACGGGAGGCAGCAGUGGGGGAUAUUGCACAAUGGGGGGAACCCUGAUGCAGCGACGCCGCGUGGGUGAAGAAGCGCCUCGGCGCGUAAAGCUCUGUCAGCAGGGAAGAAAAUGACGGUACCUGAAGAAGAAGCCCCGGCUAACGACGUGCCAGCAGCCGCGGUAAUACGUAGGGGGCAAGCGUUAUCCUGAUUUGCUGGGUGUAAAGGGGGCGCAGACGGGGAUGCAAGCCAGGAGGGAAAGCCCGGGGUCCAACCCCGGGACUGCUCUUGGAACUGCGUGGCUGGAGUGCAGGAGGGGCAGGCGGAAAUCCUGGGGUAGCGGUGGAAUGCGGAGAUAUCAGGAGGAACACCGGUGGCGGAGGCGGCCUGCUGGGCUGCAACUGACGUUGAGGGCCGGAAGCGUGGGGGGCAAACAGGAUUAGAUACCCCUGGUAGUC